CCAGACUCCUACGGGAGGCAGCAGUGGGGAAUAUUGCACAAUGGGCGAAAGCCUGAUGCAGCAACGCCGCGUGAGCGAUGAAGGCCUUCGGGUCGUAAAGCUCUGUCCUCAAGGAAGAUAAUGACGGUACUUGAGGAGGAAGCCCCGGCUAACUACGUGCCAGCAGCCGCGGUAAUACGUAGGGGGCUAGCGUUAUCCGGAAUUACUGGGCGUAAAGGGUGCGUAGGUGGUUUCUUAAGUCAGAGGUGAAAGGCUACGGCUCAACCGUAGUAAGCCUUUGAAACUGGGGAACUUGAGUGCAGGAGAGGAGAGUGGAAUUCCUAGUGUAGCGGUGAAAUGCGUAGAUAUUAGGAGGAACACCAGUUGCGAAGGCGGCUCUCUGGACUGUAACUGACACUGAGGCACGAAAGCGUGGGGAGCAAACAGGAUUAGAUACCCCAGUA
rnacentral:rRNA from 1 species